rnacentral:lncRNA from 1 species
AGAGAAGAUAUUAAAACCACCCACAAAUGAAUCAGAAAGCUACAGAAACUUGUGGAUUCUGUUGGAUGAAAGAAGACUAGAACUAUAUUGAUAGCGGAAUUGGGAACAGUUUCCAACAUACUGUGAUGCUAAGCCAUCCAUCUUUGCUGCACUCGCAUGAAUCAUAGUGUCAAUGACUACAGAAAAUGACUACAUAUACAGUGGUGAAUUCAGGGAGCCCUGAAAGGUAAUCUCCAGGUAAAUAACUAGUUUGCAAUCAUUGGCCUAUUAUUUUUUUCCACCAUGGACAGACUUUUCCCAAAGGAAUCUAGUCUGAUGAAAGGGAGUGAAUUGUUUGAAAGAGUUAAAGAAGUAUUUUUGGGUGUUUUUCCCUUCAGUAAACCAUUGGGAAGAUGGAGGAGUGUUCAAGUGAGGCAUACUGGGAUUAUAUUUGUUCUGGGCCUUUCAGGACUGUAAUUUAUCUCCGUGCCAAAAUAAUAUGAAUUGUUAAAAAAUGUACUCCUCCACAAACGAAACAAUUGGACUGGGUCCCCACUGGAUUAUGUACAUAUCUUAACUAAAAGAAUGGUAUUUUUUCUGAAUAACAAAAAACUCACACCCCCUUUUAAGAGCGAGAUACUACUUUAAAAUCUUUAUCCAUACAUUUUAAGGACUAUUCUAGCAGUUAUACCUAAAAUGAACUUUUGAAAAACAUACGUGGUUCCCUGAAAGCCCACGUUCAUGCAAAGCAGAAUCCAUUCAGUCACUUUGUAUUCUACUGAAAUGAAGCCUCUGGAAAUGCACAACAAAAUGAAACUAGGGUCUGUUUUUUAGAAAUAUAAAAACCCUUGUAUAUGAAAAUUCUUUAGUAAGAAUUACACACAGAUGACUUUAUAGCCAAGAACCAAGGACAAAAUUGGAAGUGUUAAAAAGAAAUGGACAUAUGAACUAACCAGUACCCCCCCCCCCCCCAGAGUUCAUGUCUCUAGCUGCAUAUGUAUCAGAAGAUGGCCCAGUCGGCCAUCAUUGGAAAGAGAAACCUAUUGGUCUUGCAAACUUUAUAUGCCCCAGUACAGGGGAACGUCAGUGCCAAGAAGUGGGAGUGGGUGGGUAGGGGAGGUGGGGGGGGGGUUAUGGGGAACUUUUGGGAUAGGGAAAUAUAAAUGAAGAAAAUACCUAAUUAAAAAAUAUAACUGUGGUGGUUAUAAUAGGCAUGGCCCCCAUAGAUUCAUGUGUUUGAAUAAUUGGCCAUAGGGAGUGUCACUCUUAGGAGGCAUGGCCUUAUUGGAUGAGGUAUAGCCUUGUAACAGGAAGUAAGUCACUGUGAAGGCAGGGAUUUGAGGUCUUAAAUGGAAUCCGGUCUCCUCCUAGCUGCCUUCAGAUUAACAUGUGGAACUCUUGGCUGCUCCAGCACCAUGUCUACCUGCAUGCUAUCAUGUUUCUGACUAUGUUGAUAUGAACUAAACCUCUGAAACGGUAAGAUAGUCCCAAUUAAUUUUUUUUCUUUAU